rnacentral:RNase_MRP_RNA from 2 species
GCCAAGCACCAAGAACCGCUGUCGCAGCACACGAACGGGCAUCAAAGUCCCAAAUUAAGCUGUGGGUAAAGUCCCCGGAGCGCCCUUCCGUCCGUGUUCACUCCGUCUUCUCCUCUGCCUCAGAAGGGUUGACGGAUGGAGAGCAUGCGCCCCCAAGUCGGCGUACACCGUUCCCAACAUGGGACGCACGGUUGUUGUCAUUUUAGCCAUGGGGAAUCACGGCGAAGAUACGAGCCGCCCCUUUGGCUACUUGGCCUCGGAUCACUUGCUCAUUAGAAGAUAGGUAUGCGGUUGCCCCUUGUUACUUUUCUCUGCUGGCUUUCGAGAGAAGCUGGCAAGAAGGGGUGAACAGGGGGUUACUCGAUGGGGCUUACUCUGAUGCUUGG